GGGAAGGAAAAGCUCAUUCCCACACUUAGACAUAUUUGGACUAACAUUGACUUUAGCUUGCCCUAACACUAUUUGACCAAACCUCCCUUUCCUCCUCUUCAUUCUCCUCUUUCGACCAAUAUCGUCCUCCUCUUCGUUCUCCGUCUCCGACCAAAACCCUCCUCGUCUUCGUUCUCCAGCUCCAACCAAAACCCGACCCUCCUUGUCCUCCUUCUUUUCUGCGUCGGACCAGCUCCUCUGCUUGAAGACGGUGAACAUAAUCCGAGUUUGAGGCCGGUGAUUUGGAGAAAAUUUGAGCUUUUCUUUCAUAGGAAAUGAAGCGACAAUGUGAUGAGAAACGAGAGGUAGCAACUGCAAGUAGCAUAACAGAAAGAAAAAGGGAGAUCAAAACGUGGGAAGGGCGAAAGCUUUACUUUGCAGCAACUGCAAGUAGCUCGUGAGGAAUAUGAUGAGGAAGCUACACUGUGUGUUUUCCGGUUGAAGUCCCUGAAGCAAGAGCGAGCCCGAAGUCUUCUAACACAAGCAGCUCGCCACUAUGCUGCUCAGUUGAACUUUUUCCGGAAAGGACUCAAGUCACUUGAGGUUGUCGAGCCACAUGUUAGGUUGGUUACAGAGGAGGAAGGUGAUGAGAGUGUUCACAGGGUUCAGAUGAUGAGAGUGGUCAUGCAACCGGGAGUCAGAAUGAGAACCCCGGUGUCAAUCCCAAAUCUUCAGGAAACUAGAAAAAUGGUAAAUCUUUAUUGUCAGUGCUUUGAAUUUUGAGUCUAAAAUGAUCUGAGAAAAGGGAAUGUAGAAAGAUGUUGAUUCUGUUUGGUACCAUUAUAUGGUUCAUUUGAAGAACAUAACAGGGGAUUAUUACAAAGAGUGAUUAGUUAAUUUUGUGUGUAUGUUGUCUAAAUUAUAAGGACUCUCAACACCUGUUAAUUAAACUUUAAAGGGUUCAUUUUCAAGACCAUGUGUCUUUUGCAUCCCACCACAAGCCACCGACUAUUUGUUCACACAAAUUUAUACUAUUUCAGUUGAAGAUUUCUUCUACUACACUAAUACUGUGAUUGCUCUCUCUCUUUCAUAUUCCUUCCGUAUCUCAAUUGCCAACACAUUUUUCCUUGUACUUUUAGAUUCAGUAUAUAUAGUUUUCUUGCUUAGCUAGAGAGAAACAUUAAGUCUUAGUUGACAACUUCACUACACACAUAAACUGAUCAACUAUACACAGAAGAAGUGAUCAAGAAGUAGACUGCAGUAGUAGUAAUGGCAGAUUGGGGACCGGUGGUGAUAACGGUGGUGUUGUUUGUGCUGUUAAGUCCAGGGCUACUAUUUCAGCUGCUGGGGAAGAGAAGAGUGGUGGAGUUUGGCAACAUGCAAACCAGCGGACUAUAGUUGUAUUAUAUACUCUUAAGAACCUGUUCCUCUGUUUCUCAUGACAAAUAUGUCCAAUUUUGUUUCCACUGCCACUUAUUUACUUCUUUCUUUUUAUUUAGAUGACUAUGGUAGUAAUCUAAUUUUGUAGGUAGAAUCCAUCUCCCUUGAUGAAGCUGCAAGGUUAUUACUUGGGGAUGCACACAAUACAUCCGUAAUGAGAACUAAAGUAAGGCGGAUUUAUGAUAUUGCAAAUGUUUCGUCCUCCAUGAAUCUUAUUGAAAAGACCCAUGCAGUAGAUACAAGGAAGCCUGCAUACAAAUGGUUGGGAUUGAGAGGAAAAGAUGCUACGAGUUCAGCUUCAGACGAGUCUAGAAAAAGAGCCUUUGGAACAGAUAUCACAAACGUUGUAAGAGGGGCAAAGUAGAAUCUUCUACUGCUGGGAAAUUGGAAGCUCAGAAACAAAAGCAACAUGAGAGUAUAGUACAGCAACGUGAGAGCAUAGUACGUAAGGUUGAUAGGAACAAUUCAGAGGACUCGAAACAAAAUACAAAGAGCUACCAGUUUGGCCCUUUUGCCCCCAGUUACUAUUCCCAGUUUCAACAUGAAGAAGGUUGACUGGGACAAUUUUUCCUCUACGUACUUACCGUCCCUUGUAUCAGAAUCAAGGUAUCAUCAUCUUAUGCUUCAGCCUGAUGUUCAGGUAUAUGAUAAGACAUACAAGGCUUAUAUAUAUAUGGACGCAAGAAAAAGUGAAACUAUUACUAAGCUACCUUGGUUUGUAGAUUACUUGAUUAAUUGAAGAGCAAUGCUCUCUUCAGUACUUGCCUUACAAUUUCAAACAUUCUUUCUUGUUCAAUGUAGAUUAUUUCUUUACAAAAAGGGUUCUCAAUUUAGUCA